UAUGAAAAAGGCAGUGGUUGCCGACCUCUCAUAUUGUUAAAAACGUAUGUGUUCAUAUGAUUUUGGCAAUUAUAUGAGUAAAUUAAAUCAUAUACAUAUGAAAAUUAAUAUUUAUUAUGUGUAUAAGUGAAAAAUGUUGAAAUAUUCCCAUAUUCUCUAAGUAUUAUAGAGAAAAGCCAUUUUAGUGAAUGGAUAUAGUAGUGUAAGCUAGCUGUUCUACGACAGAGGGUUCAAAAACUACUAUAGGUAGGCAGUGGUUGCCGACCUCUCAUAUUGUUCAAAACGUAUGUGUUCAUAUGAUUUUGGCAAUUAUAUGAGUAAAUUAAAUCAUAUACAUAUGAAAAUUAAUAUUUAUUAUGUGUAUAAGUGAAAAAUGUUGAAAUAUUCCCAUAUUCUCUAAGUAUUAUAGAGAAAAGCCAUUUUAGUGAAUGGAUAUAGUACUGUAAGCUAGCUGUUCUACGACAGAGGGUUCAAAAACUACUAUAGGUAGGCAGUGGUUGCCGACCUCUCAUAUUGUUCAAAACGUAUGUGUUCAUAUGAUUUUGGCAAUUAUAUGAGUAAAUUAAAUCAUAUACAUAUGAAAAUGAAUAUUUAUUAUAUGUAUAUAGGGGAAAAAAUAAUCAUAUAAUAUAUAUGAAUAAUGGAAAAUGAAGUGUUCAUAUAUUCUCGUAAUAUAUAAGAGAAUAGCCCGUAUGUUGGGUGGUAAAUGGAAUUGAAAAUACCCGCUUUGAGGACAGCGAGUUCAAAAACUACUAUAGGUAGGCAGUGGUUGCCGACCUCGCAUUGUUCGAAAUAUAUAUUUCGUAUAAUGAUUAUAUUGGUUA
rnacentral:rRNA from 1 species